rnacentral:rRNA from 1 species
UACGUAGGGGGCAAGCGUUGUCCGGAUUUAUUGGGCGUAAAGAGCGUGUAGGCGGCUUGACAAGUCUGCUGUGAAAACUCGAGGCUCAACCUCGAGCUGUCGGUGGAAACUGUCUGGCUAGAGUCCGGAAGAGGAGAGUGGAAUUCCUGGUGUAGCGGUGAAAUGCGCAGAUAUCAGGAAGAACACCUAUGGCGAAGGCAGCUCUCUGGGACGGUACUGACGCUGAGACGCGAAAGCGUGGGGAGCAAACAGG